rnacentral:rRNA from 1 species
AUUGAACGCUGGCGGCAGGCCUAACACAUGCAAGUCGAGCGGAUGAAGGGAGCUUGCUCCUGGAUUCAGCGGCGGCCGGGUGGGUCAUGCCUAGGAAUUUGCAAGGUCGUAGGGGAUAACGUCCGGAAACGGGCGCUAAUCCCGCAUACGUACUGUGGGCGAAAGUGGGGGAUCUUCGGACCUCACGCCAUCAGAUGAGACUAAGUCGGAUUAGCUAGUUGGUGGGGGAAAGGCCUACCAAGGCGACGAUCCGUAACUGGUCUGAGAGGGUGAACAGGCACACUGGAUCAGAGACACGGUCGAGACUCCUACAGGAGGCAGCAGUGGGGAAUAUUGGACGAGGGGGGAAAGCCUGAUCCAGCCAAGCCGCGUGUGUCAAGAAGGUCUUCUGGUUGGUGAGCACUUUAAGUUUGGGGGAAGUGCAGUUAGUUAAUACCUUACUGUUUUGACGGUACCAACAGAAUAAGCACCGGCUAACUUCGUG